GGAGGAAUAGUCCUAAUUGGUAAGGCAGCGGUCUUGAAAACCGCCGGGUUCUGCCCUUGGGGGUUCGAGUCCCUCUUCCUCCGCCA
rnacentral:tRNA from 1 species